rnacentral:rRNA from 1 species
AAAUCAGUUAUCGUUUAUUUGAUAGUACCUUACUACUUGGAUAACCGUGGUAAUUCUAGAGCUAAUACAUGCUAAAAAUCCCGACUUCGGAAGGGAUGUAUUUAUUAGAUUAAAAACCAAUGCCCUUCGGGGCUUUCUGGUGAUUCAUAAUAACUUCUCGAAUCGCAAGGCCUUGCGCCGGCGAUGGUUCAUUCAAAUUUCUGCCCUAUCAACUUUCGACGGCUGGGUAUUGGCCAGCCAUGGUGACAACGGGUAACGGAGGGUUAGGGCUCGACCCCGGAGAAGGAGCCUGAGAGACGGCUACUACAUCCAAGGAAGGCAGCAGGCGCGCAAAUUACCCAAUCCCGACACGGGGAGGUAGUGACAAUAAAUACUGAUACAGGGCUCUUUUGGGUCUUGUAAUUGGAAUGAGUACAAUUUAAAUCCCUUAACGAGGAACAAUUGGAGGGCAAGUCUGGUGCCAGCAGCCGCGGUAAUUCCAGCUCCAAUAGCGUAUAUUAAAGUUGUUGCAGUUAAAAAGCUCGUAGUUGAACCUUGGGCCUGGCUGGCCGGUCCGCCUCACCGCGUGCACUGGUCCGGCCGGGCCUUUCCCUCUGGGGAACCGCAUGCCCUUCACUGGGUGUGUCGGGGAACCAGGACUUUUACUUUGAACAAAUUAGAUCGCUUAAAGAAGGCCUAUGCUCGAAUACAUUAGCAUGGAAUAAUAGAAUAGGACGUGUGGUUCUAUUUUGUUGGUUUCUAGGACCGCCGUAAUGAUUAAUAGGGACAGUCGGGGGCAUCAGUAUUCAAUUGUCAGAGGUGAAAUUCUUGGAUUUAUUGAAGACUAACUACUGCGAAAGCAUUUGCCAAGGAUGUUUUCAUUAAUCAGGAACGAAAGUUAGGGGAUCGAAGACGAUCAGAUACCGUCGUAGUCUUAACCAUAAACUAUGCCGACUAGGGAUCGGACGAUGUUAUUUUUUGACUCGUUCGGCACCUU